rnacentral:pre_miRNA from 1 species
UCUAGCAAUAUAUUUGCAGGUUUUAGGUCUAAGUGGUGAAUAUCGAUCUCUGAAUAUAUUGAUAACCUUCACAAAUUUGCUGAUUAUUUUUGUAGCGCUCUUUCAUGAGAAAUGAUUGUCCCACAUGCAUAUCCAUGACUAAAAAAAGCAAAAAAGUAAUAAUUGGGUGUUGUGUUCUCACAAAGAAAGAUGGAAAAGUUUAACAAAAACUUGUGAAGGAAGAUGAAUGCUUUGAUUAUGCAUGAAUCCAUAAUGAUAAAGUGCUAUUGAAUGAUCAAGUAAUUUGUAAGGUUUUUAUUAUCUUCGCAAGAGUUGUAUUGUUAAUUUAGACCUAGACAUGCAAGUAUAUUUCUAGG